rnacentral:rRNA from 1 species
AAGGGCACCACAAGAACGCGUGGAGCAUGUGGCUUAAUUUGACUCAACGCGGGAAAUCUUACCGGGUCCGGACACACUGAGGAUUGACAGGCAAUAUUAAAAUAAGUAUACUUUCUGAGUAUUACUAUAUUUUAUGUUAAAUAUGCUAGUCCUUUCAUGAUUAUGUGAUAGGUGGUGCAUGGCCGUUCUUAGUUCGUGGAGUGAUCUGUCUGCUUAAUUGCGUUUCACUAAGGGCUUAUAAUUUUCAUGUGUGUUGCUAACACUUUGACCCCUACUUGUUAGCGUGCGUCUCAGAGUUAAGCACACGCUACUGUGUUCUGAAAGCAACGAACGUGACCGCAACCUCUUGUUGCCUUUUGCACGACGCUCAACUAAAUAUUUUAUAUUUUUGUUGAGUAAAAGAGGCUUUCAAAACUAGAGGGACCGCUGCAAUUUCUUUAAACCAGAGGAAGGUUGCGGCAAUAACAGGUCUGUGAUGCCCUUAGAUGUUCCGGGCUGCACACGUGCUACAAUGAUUAUUGCAGUGAGCAUCUCAUAUUAAUACACCGCUGUGCGAGUGUUGUUUGUCAUUUGCGUGGCAGUAACACUUUGUGCGCGGUAAAGCCUGCUUCGAAAGUAAGCGGGUAAUCAAUUAGAAGUAAUGAUUUCCCUUAGCACACAUAUAUGUAUACCUUAUAUCCGGUUAGAGCUUAGUUCUCUUUCAUCGUGUAUAUUUGCGUGUUACAUGUGCAAUUGUCAAUUCACGGUGGGGACAGACCAUUGUUAAUUGUUGGUCUCGGUCUUAACUAGGAAUGCCUUGUACGGGUCUUUGGUUCAACAGACCACCCGGAAUACGUCCCUGCCCUUUGUACACACCGCCCGUC